rnacentral:rRNA from 1 species
UACGAGAGGCCCAAACGUUAUUCGGAUUUACUGGGCUUAAAGAGUUCGUAGGCGGCGCGGAAAGUAGGGUGUGAAAGCCCUCGGCUCAACCGAGGAACUGCGCUCUAAACUACCGUGCUUGAGGAACCUAGAGGUGAGCGGAACUGAUGGUGGAGCGGUGAAAUGCGUUGAUAUCAUCAGGAACACCGGAGGCGAAGGCGGCUCACUGGGGGUUAUCUGACGCUGAGGAACGAAAGCCAGGGGAGCAAAC